rnacentral:lncRNA from 1 species
GCACAAUCUCUAUCCAGUGUGGCCUAUGACAGUGACUGGGGAUCUCAGAGCCAACCACAGCCAAGAGCAGAGAUGAUCCCAGCCAAGAUCUCAAGCUGCUUUCAGCUGCUGUGAAGCCCAGGCCGAGGUAGCAGAAGAGGAUCCCGCAGGCCACUGCCUGUCCUCCGGCGGCAGCUUAUAGCAGCGUUUAGUUCGCAGCUGCCCACGCCCCCGCGCCCCUAUAUCCCGCGCUGCCCGAGGCAACCAGUUUGCUUCCUGCACUCCUGGACGCCCCUCUCCUUCAGGCCCCCACGGCCCCACCAGCCGGGCCCUACCCAAGACCUCCGGGCGCCGCGCCGGGGGCUCCCCCAAGACCACUGCCUCGCGCCCCAGGUGUGCGCAGCUGCCCCACGUCCCCUCCCCAGGCUCCCCGGGACUCUCGGGCCCCUCCCCGCGCUCGGGCGGCCGCAGCAGCCGGCGCGGGCUCCCCUCCCCCCGCUCCUGCACCCCGGCGCGCUCCUCACCCCGCUCCUGCACGGCGGGGCCCCCACCCCCCUUUUCCUGGUACGGCCGCCGAGGCCCCAGGCCCUCCUCCUGCGCCACCGGCCGGCCGGCCACGCCCGUCCACCGCGCCGUGCGCCCCUCGCCCCCGCCGGCCGGUGGCCCCCACACCACCCCUGGACUGGGCUCGCGGCCGCGGCCGCCGCGCUCCUGCACGCCUGCGCCCACGCCGCCCUGCUCCUGCACCGCCGGCCCCACGCCGCCCUGCUCCUCCACGCCGAGCCUCAGCCCGCGAAGCUGCUGCGGGCCCCAGCUGAGCGCCCCGACGCGCGCCGGAUGCUGCUCGGGCAGUGCGGGGCUCAGCCCGCCGCGCUCCUCCUGCGCCCCGCGCCGCCGGCCCGCGGCCCCCACGGCCCCGCGCACGCGCCCGCCCCCCACAGGCCGCGCGCUCCCGCCUCUCCAGAUGGUGCUGCCCCCCCGCGCCCGCUCUCGCCCCCCCGACGGGGAGGGGGCUGCUGGGGUCCCGGCCCCGGCUCCGCCUCC